CAGGCGGACAGGCAAGUCAGGCGUGAAAGCUCCCGGCUCAACCGGGAGAGGUCGUCUGAGACUGCGUGUCUGGAGGGCAGUAGAGGAGCGUGGAAUUCCGGGUGGAGUGGUGAAAUACGUAGAGAUCCGGAGGAACACCAGUGGCGAAGGCGGCGCUCUGGGCUGUACCUGACGCUGAGCCGCGAAAGCAUGGGGAGCGAACG
rnacentral:rRNA from 1 species